UUUUUUUUUUUUUUUUAUGGUUUUAUUGGGUGAAACUGAAAGCCAGGGUGGGGAGUUGGAGAGUUGGGCAGUGCUGCCGUCUAUUUCUAUGCUGAAUACAUUCGGUUGGUUUGUGGACUCAUUGAAAACUUGGUAACAUCGAUCUUCAUCAGGAAAAGACAUAAACACACGCAUUAAGAGGGAGGCAAGAAAAGAAGAGGAAAAUCAGAGUGAAAAGCAAACCAAGGGAAGAGCUGGUUUUGCCGUAACCGGAAAUCGCUUCACCGCUACCAUCUCAAUCUUCAACGGACAAGCACUGUAAGAUAUCUUCUGCGGAAAAUAUGAAUGGGUUAAUUAUAGUUUGCCCCCUUGAACUUAACUUUUAUAACACUUUGCCCCCUGAACUUUAAAUAUAUACACUUUUCCCCCUUCAUUGACUAGGUCAAACGUUAAUGAUGAAUUUUUCAUCCAAAAUUUUAAUAAAAUAACAUUAAUGUGCUUACAUAAUAGUUUUAGAACAAUGCUAUACUUUUAAUUGGAAUAUGAAACUUUUUAUUAGAGAAAACACAAGCUCAUAUGAUUUUAAAAAUAAAAAAAUAAAAGUUGGUAUAAUUAAUGCUUAAGAAUUGAAAAAUUGUAUUGUGGUGAAAAAAGAAUUUAAAAUUGCUAAAGCAUUUGCACAAGUUUUCCAUCACUUAUAUUUUUUUCCUUUAAAUUGUAAAUGGAUUAGUUGUGAUAAUUUUCAUUUACUUUGCAAUUUUACAAGAUUUUAUGGGUCAAUAAGAUGCUAUUUGAUAAUUUUAUACCACAUUCAUACCUUGCCUUGUACUUAAUUUGCAUUCUACAUUUAAAAAAACAAAAAUUCUCUAAAUAUGUUUUUCAAUACAUUUUGUAUUUUUAAUCAUGUUUUUAUCUCAUAUAAAACACAUUAAAAAGUGCUACAAUAAAAAAAUAUAAGCAAAUAAUUUUCAUUCCAAAUGCACUAAUUAAUUUUAUAUUAUUCAAAAUAAGUAUUGUUAUCGGAAUUGAGAUAAACACAUUGAGUUGCUUAGACUUCUUUUUGUGAGUUAUCUAAUUCAUUUUUGUACUAAAAGAUAGAAAUGUAUAGUGUAAUUGUGUUUAAAUGCAUUUAGCAACUAUUAAAGAUAUAGGUAUUUAUUAUGUUACAAUUAUUAUGUGUGUUUAAGAAUUAGGCGGGGAUAUUUUGAUCAUGAAAAAUAUAACUUCAUCUUAACUCCGUCAAAAAGUUGGCCGCAAGGGGUAAAGUAUAUAUAUUUGGAACUUAAGGGGCAAAGUGUUACAAGGGCCCAAGUUCAGGGGUCGAGUGCAUGAUUAUUCGUCAAUUUUCCCAUAAUUUUGUCGUACAUAUAUAUGUUUUCCAUUGCUUUUCAUUUUUCUUAACACACAUUUCAAGUUGGUAUGUCUAUGCGAUGAACUGACGGUGAUUAGGUGAGAUCCUUUGUAUCACUAAUCGAUGUCAAAUCCAGUGUCAGUUCCACUUAUCACGUGAGAAUAAAGAAAACUUAAAUAAAUAACACAUGAUAGCUUAAAUAACAGGACAUUUUGCAUAAAUAUAGAAAUUGCCACUGAGUUGCUACUGAAAAGUGGUAUCGAGGAUUCCAUGUGCGUGGUGAUGAUUAAUAUGACUAAAAGUCUUGAGUCUGACCAAACUUGGGACAUGAAAGCACAGUUCUGAAAUUACAUAUCAAUCCCUCUAGUUUCUUUUAUUUUUAAAUUGUGCCACUAACUUUCUGUCAUUUUAGUUCGACCCCACAAAUUUGAUUAAAAUGUUUUCAGUUAGGUCCGUAUGACUAACUUGGUCAUUUGCUUUUUCUCUUUUUGUACUUUUUUCUUUUUACAAAAAAAAAGGAGAAGAAUGGAAUUUAAGAAAUGGGGAAGGGAUAUGAAAAUUAGAACUCUGAACCUCUAGUGCUAAGGUAUCAAUUUUAAUUAUUAAAUCAAGGCCUCCUCAAAAUUUCUCUUUGUACUUACGUGAGCUCAAUGGGAGUUAGGCCUAUGUAAUUUUAUAAUUUUUUUCUUUGAUUAAUUACUCUUUUAGUACUAUGUGAGCUAGAAAAUAGGACAUAAGAUCUUUUGUAAUUUUUUAAUGCAUUCUUCUUAUUUUUUGGUGAAAUAUGAUCAUACAUGAGAGCGCGUAAAACAAGCAUCGGGUUCAUUGGCGCAACGGAUCUUCUGUCUCACACUCUGUACCACUCUCUAUUCCACUUUUUAUUAUAUUGCUAUUUCUCCUACAUAAACAUCAUGUUUUAGUUCUUUUUUGUUUCCUUAAGAUCCAAUAACUAUUAAUUGAGCAAAAAAUAAAUACAGCAAUUUCAAAAAAGUAAUAUAUAAUAGAAAAUUAGAAAAUAUAGCAGAAAAUUCAUAAAAAAUCUCAUUUUUUAUGCAUUUUGAUUUUUUGAGUUUGUUAAAUUUUGUGUAUUACUCAAUUAAUAGUUAUUGGAUCUUAAGGAAAUAAAAAAGAAUUAAAAUAUGAUGUUUAUGUAGGAGAAAUAGCAAUAUAAUAAAAAGUAGAACAGAGAGUGGCACAGAGUGUAGGACAGAAGAUCCGUUGCGGUUCACUGGGGUGUAGGAAGGUGCCUUGAAGUUGACAAAUUGACCUUCCUCCCUAACAACUGACCUUCCAAACUCUCUCUCUCUCUCUCGUAAGUGAGAUGUCAUGAAUCCAAAACCUCCAACUGACAUUCUCUUCCACCUUAGUAGCCAACCUAACCCCUUCCCCCACUCCCAAACUCAUUUUAUCUGGCAUUCAAAAUACCAGGAUUUGUUUAGGCAGAGGGUUUUCACUUUAAUUUUUAAAAUAAAACUACUAUUUCAUUGAUAAUUUGAGUGACUCGAUAUACUUAAAACUCAAUACCAAGUUGCAGUUCCUCAAUUUGACAAAACUUUUUCCCUAAACUUCUAAUGGGCCAAAAAAGUCAUCUUUCUCAAAAGUCCCAUUGUACACCUGGUUUUGUUUUUACUUUUUUCUCUCCAUUUUACUCCAUGAAAAACUCAAAAAAAAUCAACUUUCACUUUUCGUUUAAUUUUUUAUUUUUCAAAUUACAAAUGGGUUCAGUAUUUAAUUUUAGAAAUAUGAGCACUUAAUCUGAAAGAAAUAAAAUAAAAUGAUCGAGGACCAACUUUUAUGGCUAUUCACAUAAUUAGGUGUCAUCAAUUUUUUGCAACCACAGAUUUUGAAGAAAAGAAAAACUAGUUUCACCCUUUUUUUUAUGUUUCUUUAUAAAUAUUUACCUAUGUCAUUGUAAAGGCAUUAGGCUGACACAGAACUAAAUUCAUGACAAAAAUAGUUAAUUUUCUUCAUUUAAUUAAGAGUAGGGAGACUUUUUGAUAUUAGAUAACAAGUAAGAUGGGAGAGUUCUAUUGUUUUGAUAUCAAGAGGAAAGUUUCCUAACUUUUGUAAAAUUAUAAGGAAGGUUAGUGUAAUUUAUCUUAUAUAAUAUCCAGUAUUGUAUACUAAGGUAUGAAAUGAUUGUCAAAUCGUUUUGAACUUGAUCAUAUGUGCUAACUUAACAGAUAACUUCUAGUAAAUUAGUAAUUGAUUUCUAGUUUUCACUCCGCCUUAGAAUAUGAGCAUAAGAUAUUCACCUCUUAAUCAAUGCUUAAUAUCAAGAUGAGGAAUCAAAAUAAUAGUACAGCAAAUGAUGUAAUUCUGCUUGCUGCACAUGUUCCAAAAACAAAAAGGCUUAGGCCUAGUUUGGGAAUUUAUGAGAGAAGAUAAAAUUUAGGUUAAGAAAGAAAGAAGAGAAAAGAGAGGAUAAUACUAUCUUUCUAUGAAGUCAUGAUGUUGAACAAUGAAAGUCAUGAUGUUGACCAUGCUUACUCUAAAGUUUUCAUCUCCACAAUUCGGCAAUUCCAUUUUUUAAACUCUUCAUUGUCACCAUCUUCAUUUCCCUCUAGUUUGGUAAUUAAGUAUGCUCUCUGCGCCUUACAAUUUGGCAACUUCAAUUUAAUGAAAUCUGUAAAAAAAAAAAAUAAAGAUAUUGAAAAAACAGAUACGGUUCAAAAUUAUAGUAAUAAGAAAGAUGGAAAAAGAGGAAUAAACACUAGAGAUGUCAGAAUUUUGGUGGCCGUGUGGUUGGUGACAGCGAGAGCUAGUGUUUAGUGGGUCUUGGGAAAGAGAGUUAAUUAUGAGGGGAGAGAGAAAAAAAGGUGGGAAAGACAGAAGAUGAGGAUUAGAAGAGGGUUUUUUUUUUCUUUCUAUUUUUAGGUUGGACGUGUUCCUUUAUAAAUUAACCAUUAGUUGAAGGAUACUUAAGUCAUCUCAAUAAAACAAAGGAGGUUAAUGUAAUUUGUAAAGAUUGAGGAGACCUGAGCGAAAUUAUCAAACACUUUAGGGGACGUAGCUUUUGAAGUUAUCCUUAUAAAAUGACUUGAAAACAGGAAGAAAAGUACGUGAAAUAUGCAAUAUCAUGAUGGAAUCUGAGCGCCACUAAAGGCUUUAAUUUGUCAAUUUCAUGCUAAUGCUUAUUCAAUUUGUCAAUUGCUAAUCAAUACUUUGCAGCUUGUACCAAGAAAGUGGAACCACGGUAAUACCUACUACAAUAAAAUAAUGAAAGUCGCGUUGUUGCACAAAUAGGGUGGCUGAGUUGAAAGCAUCAGCUCUCAUGGCUGAUUGUUAUUACAUAAAUAUGAAAAAACGAAUCAUGACAUUGGCACUCUAAAAAAAAGUGCAAAUACUCUAACCUUACUGAUUAUUAUUAAAAAUUACACAAACACCGGUAAACUAGACUCUUUAACAAUUUUAAAUAUAAAAAUUACCCUCAAUGCAUAGUUUAAAGAUGAUUUUUGCAUUACUUUUAUGAAGAGUUCUACACUCUUGACUCCAAAAUUUUAAUUUUUUUUUUAAAUCAAACAUUGUUUAAAAGUGUUAAAUAACCUAAUAAAAAUAAUUAAAAAGCCAAAAAGUAAUAAAAAAAGCUCCAAACCACAAAUCUUGUACUUUAUUCAAGAGCAACUAAACAAUUGAUACUCACGCAAAAUUUUUUGAAUCAUCGAUGGUAAAAGUUUCAUCUAUUAGUAGUUGUAUAACGAUUAAUGACUAAUUUAAGAGCAGGAAAGAGUUAAGUGAAUUGAAGAGAUAAAGUAAAGAAAGUUAUUAGUGAAGAGAUAAAGGGGCAAUCAGUGACGGAGUCAAGAUUUUUUCCUUGGGGGCCAAAAUUUUUUCAAACAAAAUUACCUUACUAUGUUAUGUUUAAAAUAAUUUUCAUUUAUUUAAAUAUAUGACAUCUGAAAAUAUCAACUAUUAACUUUAAUUAUAAAGGUUUGUCUAUUUCAUAAAUAUGUAACAUAGUCAUAACUAAAAUUAAGACAAGAAAUAACAUUUGAUUAAAUAUCUUAUAACAUCACAAACCACCUAAGUUGUACAUUAUGAAAAGAUACUCCAAUAUGUCAUUUGUGCCAAAACAAAAAUAUGACUAUGCAAUAUAAAUAUAACUAUUUUCAAUUAAAAAAGAUAAAAGUUAUUUUAACGCACCUUGAAAUUUUAUCCUCUUUUAUUAAAAGUAAAUUGAGAUUUACAUUCUUUCAUAGAACUAAAUUCAUGUAUAAUUGAAUCAAUCCUAAAUUUUUGAAUAUCUUCCACUUUUUAUGUACAUUGUUAGGCAAUCAUUCAAGAAAUUAUUUUUUAUCUUGUUUGGAGGCUUGUUUUGAUUAUCUUCAUAAUUGAAAAUGUCCAUUCUAUAGACUAUAGAACGGAGCCAGGAUUUUUUCAUUGGGAAGGGGCCCAAAAUUUUUUCAAACAAAAUUACCUUAAUAUGUUAUGUUUAAAAUAAUUUUCAUUUAUUUAAAUAUAUAACAUCUUAAAUUAUCAAAUAUUGAUUUUAAUUAUAAAGGUAUGUCUAUUUCAUAAAUAUGCAGCAUAGUCAUAACAAAAAUUAGAACAAAAAAUAACCUUUGAUUAAAUAUCUUAUAACAUCCCAAACUAUCCAAAUUGUACAUUAUGAGAAGAUGCGCCAAUAUGUCACUUGUGCAAAAUAAAAAAUAUAACUAUGCAAUAUACAUAUAACUAUUUUCAAUUAAUAAAAGAUAAAAGUUAUGUUAGCAUGCAUUGAAAUUUCAACCUCUUUUCUUAAAAGUAAAUUGAGUUUUACGUUCUUUCAUAGAACUAAAUUCAUCUAUAAUUGAAUCAGUGCUAAAUUUUUAAACAACUACCUUUUUGUAUGUACAUUGUCAGACAAUCAUUCAAUAAAUUAUUUUUUAUCUUGUUUUGGAACUUUGUUUUGAUUAUAUUCAUAAUUGAAAAUAUCCGUUCUAUAGUUGUAAUUGACACAGGAAGAGUGAGAACAAAUAUAAUCAAUAUAUCAACAACAGGAUAGAUCACUCAAUUUCUUGUCUUCACCAAACCUUAAAGUAAUUAUUUGUAUACUUGUAUAUGGGUCAACAAGAGGAUAUAUCACUAGUUUUAAAUUUUUUAUCAAUUAGGCAAAGUUGUAUAUUUGUAUAUGGACCAAUAAAGUAAUUAUUUUUGUUUUAGCCCAUUGAUAAUUAUGAAUUGAGUCUUUUAUUAUAAUAUAUCAAAUUGGGUCAAUUUACUUUGGAUCAUCAAAUUAUAUGUUUAAUUUUUUGAACAUUAAAUAAUUAGCACAAUAAAAAAUAAAUAACUGUUUUUGAAGAAAAAAUUAAAUCAAAGGUGGCUAAUUUAUACGCACAUAGAUAUAUAUAUAUAUAUAUAUAUAUAUAUAUAAACUCUCAUAAUAUAAACUAAAAUUGUAAAAAAUUAGGGGGGGCAACUUUGUCUUAUACAUAUAUUUACAUAUUAUGAAUUAAAUUUUCAAAACUUAUUGCCCCCCUCAGCCCCCCUUGGCUCCAUCAUUGGGCAGUUUAAUCUCCCAGAAUAUUUUAUAAAUUUUUGUGUCAUUUCAUUAAGCAAAAAAACAAGGGUGGAGUAUAUGGAGUUUUUAUCGGAAUGCCAAUAUCAUUUGUCUAAAAAAAAUCAACAUCUGAAUAAUUUUAGUCGUCAAUUAAUCAAGGAAGGGUCAUCUCAUACGGAAAUUGACAACCGUUCCUGCCAGUGGACGGCCAUGAUUUGGCCUCAAAAUUUUGUGCGGCUCAGAUCACGUCUUGUAACUCGAUUUUCACGUCAAGUGUGGGGCCCACAAAAAUUUAUUCUAAAGUUACGUCGUGUGCAAAGAAAGUUACACAAUGUGCAAUUGAUGUUACUCACAGUGCAAAAUGCACACAACCUGCACAAACGGUUGCAGGUGCAACCAUUUGUGCCCCUUGUACAUCUCAUACUACUACUUGCUCAGUUCUCAACUGCUAAUCGCUGCCUAGCAGUUGGCACUAACUAUCAAGACAGCGGAACCAAUAUAUUAAUACUACAAUAAAACAAUGAAGUCGGAUUGUUGCACAUGUUUAGAUCCUAUUUGAUAAUCCAAUUCAACAUUUAAAUUUAAUGGAUUCAGAUAUUAACAUAUUCAAAUGUAUUUGAUAACAAAAAAUUGAAUAUUUGAAUUAAUUAAGUGAUUCUGAAUGUACCAGGCAAAACUUAUUUCGAAAUAUAAGUGAUAAACAAUUCACUUAUUACUAAAUCUGAUACACACUCAAAUAUAUUAGAUUUAAUAUUUAAUAAUUUAAUAAUUAAUAAACUCAAAUUUCAAAUUUCAAAUUUCAGCUUUUAAACUUCAGUUUAUCAAACGUAUCAUUAGACUCUAGACUUCCAUUUCCAUAAUUUUAUUUUCUUUUCUGACCCUUGAAAUUCAAAUGGGGUGGUUGAGUUCGAAACAUCAAUUCACAUGGCGGAUAGUUUCGUGUAUGCAUAAAAAUCAUCUUGAUUAAUUAGUCGUCAAUUAUUUAUUUUAUUUUGGCCAGAAUACUAACAAUAUGCAUGUGACUACAACUCUACAGUAGGUAGAAAACGUUGUUGUAAGACGACUUUUUGCAUCCUUAAAUUUUGAAGAUAAUGGCUUCUGGUGGUGGUGGUGUGGCUUCUAGUUUGGAUCGCCUUGAUUCUGUUUUGGAAGGGUUGCGGCGUCGAUCGGUCACUGCAGAGCAGGUCUACAAGGACUGGAGGGUUCUGAGGAUUCUUUGGGAGUCCUGUCAUAAGGGGACUGAUGCAGGCCUCAAGAUUGAAGCUGCAGCCGAGGAGAUCGCCCAUGACCUUAAUCGUAUUUCUGAUGGAGAGAAGGAGGACAGCGAAGGUCCAGAAUCACAGUUCCUUCUCCAAUUAGCUCGUGAUUGUGAAACAAAAACCAAGCGAUUGAUGGCUGAUAUUGGAGAAGCUCUUGACUAUCUGUACUCGUCGUGCUCAACAGGAGGGAGCAGCAUCAGCAGCUCACUCCAGUUACAGCUGAUGUCUCCUGCAACUCUUGAUGUUUCCUUCUGGCCAAGAUUUGUCAGCCAUGCACAAUCAAACGUGCUCAGAAUCAGUCAGAUUGUGGUAGAUCACUUGGGUCAUGAACACUUUGGUAUACGGGAUCAAGUCUUUACCUUCUACAACAGUCUAAAGUCCAUCAGGCGUUACUUUGGUCUAUUACUAAGCGAUCCCAAAUUCCCAUACCUGGGAGGGGCAGGAGUAGGAGCAGGGGCAGGAGCAACAAUAGAUGAUGCAGUGCCUAGUAUUGAUGCCUCCCUCGGUCAUGUGGUAUCUUUGGUCCUUCGGAUUGCAAAUCGGUGUUCUGAUCACUGGUUGGAUAGCAAAACAGGCCGGAUCCAAUUGGAAAAAGGUGAGCUGAGUAAGUUCGUGGAGGAUGUGCACCAUGAGAUUCAUCCAAGAAAUCCCAAUUUCAUGAGGUUCCAUCUUAAUUUCCUUUUGGCUCUCUGCUUCAGUAAUAAUAACGAGGAUGAGAAGAUGGAUAUUGUUAUGCAAUUCUGCAACUAUCUCUUUAAUUCUGAACGCGGUGAUUUUCGAAAAGAGGUGACUUCCCUGGUUACUCUUUUUGUUGACGCUACUACUAAAUUAAAGAACAAUGACGCAGUGCAAAGUUUCUUUCCAGAAAUCAAUGCAAUGCUCGUUGAGAUGGCGUCGCUCUUUGAAGCGAAUAGUCGCAAGGGGCAUAAACUAAAUGACUCUCCUCAGUGCUCUGAGUUACUUACAAGAAUUUGUCUUCUCAGAGCAGAGCUUUCCCUCGUCGUGCAAAUUCGUAAUAUGAGCAAAAUUAGCAGCAAUUUGUCGUCCUCCUCCAGUAUGCUUUCAGAUUGGAAAGAUAUCCCGAGAAAUCUGAGCAUAUAUUCCAAAAAUUUACCCCUUGACAAGAUUGAGGAUGGGGAAAAGAUGUUGGCAUUCACUGAAUCAUUGUUUGAGGAAGUAGAAUCUCUUCAUCAGUCAUUUAGGCACAAGAAAAUCUCAGGUUCUAUUGCGAAGAACUCACUUCUCCUACUUUUUUUUAAGAUUGUGAUUUUCAAGGAAGAGUUGUUUUUAAUGGAGUUAUUGUUGUUGAAGAGUGGUAAUGAAGCAAUUUCCAUGGCUAGUGGGAAAGAUCAAAUUGCAUUCCAUCUUCAGAAGCUUGAGUACUUUCUACUAGUUCUCUCAGAUGAGCGAAUGAAGGAUAGAGAAGACAUGCUCAGAGCCUUCAACAAAAUUGAAGUUUUUUUUAGGAGCUUGACAUGUUCAGCUUACUCUUUUCUUAUAGCACAAGAUGAAAUGGUCCUUUCGUUUUCUGAUCUGUUAGAUAAGGUGAAUCAGUUGAUGAAGGCAAAGCUUAAUGAGAUUAUUCCCCCAUUUCCACUGUUUGAUUUCCCUGAGGGUUUCAAACUGAAUUUCCUUGAUUCCUUCGUAGAAAAUCUUGGGGAGCUGCUGAAACAUGAUCCCGAGUCAAUUGCAUCAGCGAAGCUCCACAUCUCAGAGAUUCAAGUACAUCUCAAGUCUCUGAGAUCUUUUCUUGAGAGUGUUGCAGAUUUGGAGACUGAGGAAGUCGAAGAGCUGAAAGAUAUUGGAAAUCACAUCAUUGAUUUGGUGUACAGAGCAGAGUAUGUAAUUGAUUCAAUCGAAAUUGAUGCUCAGUGGCAGGAUUUCUUCUGGUUAAAUGAUGUAUUGGAGGAGUUUAGACGUGUUAAAGAGAAGGCCUAUGGAAUUUAUUUGACCAUCUGUGAUGCUAAAAUCCAAGUCUCCAAAAAUUUCACCCAAAUUUCAGUCGACAGGCGUCUAAUGAAUAUUCAUCCUCCAGCAGUCCAUGAAUUUAUGGUGGAUCUCAGGGACCAAGAAGAAUGCAUAAUCAGCCGACUUACCAGAGGAUACCAGCACCUAGAUGUUGUUUCUAUCGUUGGAAUGCCAGGUUUAGGCAAGACAACAUUAGCAAGGAAAGUUUACAACACGCGACAAAUCAUGCAUCACUUCCCUGUAAGAGCAUGGUGCACUGUUUCCGAAGCAUAGGAGAAAAGGAAAUUAGUCUUUGAGAUUUUAACGGGCAUCCAUGGACUUAAAGAUGAGAUUCCCCAAAUGAGUGAUGAAAGUCUUGAACUCGAAUUGAUUGGCUGCUUGCAGGAAAACAGGUAUCUCAUAGUCAUGGAUGACGUUUGGGAUGUUAAAGCCUGGAAAUACCUGAAAGAUUUAUUACCAGAUGACGCCAAUGGAAGCAGAAUUCUAUUAACAUGUCGUCUUUUUGAUGUGGCCUGGGCAAUUAAACGACAUAGUGAUCCUCAUCCUCUUCGUCUAUUAUCCGACGAGGAAAGUUGGAUGUUAUUAGAAAAGAAGGUAUUCAAUGACAACAAUUGCCCCCAGGAACUUGUGGAAACGGGAAAGGAAAUUGCUCGGCAAUGUAAAGGAUUUCCUAUUGCAAUUGUUGCAUUAGCUGGUUUACUAAGAAUGACAGAACUGAGCCGAGAUUCUUGGACAAAUGUAGCUGAAGCCUUAGUCUCACAGAUAAUAGAUGACCCACAAACUAGGGCCUACAAUGUCUUAGAGCUUAGCUACAAUCACUUGCCGGAGAAUCUAAAACCAUGCUUUCUCUAUUUGGGAGUUCUUCAAGAAGACAAAGAUAUUCUUGUUAGCAAAUUAAUACGGUUUUGGCUCGCAGAAGGGUUGAUACCAAAAACUGAGGCAAAGAGCUUGGAAGACGUCGCAGAGGAAUUCUUGAUGGAGUUGAUUAACAGAGGGUUGGUAAUAAUCUCCAAACGAAGAUCCAAUGGCAGGGUCAAAGCAUGUCGCCCUCAACCUCUUAUAAUUGAUUUGUGUAUGGCAAAAAUCAAAGAGGAGAACUUCUUUCAGCCAUAUGCUUCUUUUCCUAGUUCAGGUUAUGGUUUUGAAUUCGAUUUUUUCCAUCAAACGGGACCUUUGCAAUUUGCAUCCUAUCGGCUGGCCGUGUAUUCGAACCGAAAUCAUUUUGUCCAAUCAAGACCAUCAGGAGCGGGCACCCGUUCUUUGGUUUUCUUUGCUUCUAAAGAUUCAGAACCAAGAUGGCCUUAUGAUAUCUCCUUCAUUUUGCGCAACUUCAAAUUACUUAAGGUGUUGGAUUUCGAAUGCAUCAAUAUCGUUUCUUUUCCUGUUGAAAUUUCGAUGCUGAUUCAAUUGAGGUAUUUAGCAAUUGGGGGAUAUCUGACAUCUAUUCCGCAAUCGAUAGCCAACCUCAGGAAACUAGAAACUCUUGUUGUGAAGGGAUUGCGUGGUAAGAUCGUCUUGCCAAAUACUAUUUGGCGCAUGACAAGUUUAAGGCAUCUUCAUGUGAGUAUUCAUGUUACUUUGGAUUCGGAUGAUGAAGAAGAGCUUGAAGAUUGCUUCGUGUUAGAAAAUUUGGUCAGCUUUUCCCGCCUAUCUCUUCCUUGUGGUGGGGAUUCAGAAUGGACAAUGAAGAGGCUUCCAAAUCUUCGCAAACUGAGUUGCAUAAUUUUUCAGAGACAGGAUUCUUCUGCUAAUCAUAAUCAAUUUCCAAGUUUGAAUCUUCUCUGUCAUUUGGAGUCACUCAAGAUAUUUUACUAUGGAUAUCAUCUUAACAAUGGCGAGUUCAAUCUCCCAUUGACUCUAAAGCAAUUGACUCUGUCAAACUUUCACCUACCAUGGAGUUGUAUCUCUGCAAUUGGUAGACUGCCAAACCUGGAAGUUCUGAAGUUGCGAUCUGAAGCCUUUGUGGGGAGAACAUGGGACAUGGUGGAAGAAGAGUUCCUGAACCUUAGAUUCUUGAGCUUAGACACUCUGGACAUUGUCCAAUGGAAUGCCUCUUGUGACCACCUCCCUAGACUCGAAACACUUGUCUUACAAAAUUGCAGAGAGCUCCGGAAAAUUCCACCUGAUUUUGCAGACAUAUCUACACUGGAAAUUAUUGAAGUGAAUUGGUGUGGAGUAUUUGUAGAAAUAUCGGCCAGGCAUAUUAGGGAAGCAACAGGAGAUGUUAAAGUCGUUAUAAGGAGUUUAUAUUGGAGACCAUGAUCAGCAUGAUUUGGAUAAAACCUCUUUAUACUUCCUCUGAUCACUUGUGAGUCUAUUAUAUGAUUUUUCAGCAACCUAUCCAUUUUCUCCAUUCAUUUGUGAGAUGAAAUUCCUGUCAUUUCUAUUUACUUGAGUACAUAUACUAGCUGAAAAAUAUUGAUAACCACUUUAAUUUUAACUUCUUAUCUAACGUUUAGGCUUGAGAAAUCACGUUUGAUUCUUGUCUUCUAAGACCAUUUUUCUUGCCCUUUCCCAGGUCUGUAACUGGCAAGGCUCAAUUGAAACUUGAGAGGCACUGUUCACCACAAGCAAGAACUUUUGGCCAAGCUUUGCCUUACAUUGGAGCUUUCCCAUUUGAUGCUCAGUAUUGUGCUUUUGAUCUUUGGAACGAAUGCGGCAAUGUGACUGAUUUUGAUUACCUGCUUUUUUUCCCCCUGCUUUUUAUCAUACAGUGGGUUGUUUAGAAAGACCAAGCUUGUAGAUGUGUUCUGAGAAUGUUUGUUUGAUGAAAUUGAAUUACAGUUGUCUUUCAUCAUCAAGGACUUUCCUUUUUCAAUUUAUUUUUUGUAAUUAUACUCACACACACAUAUAUUUGAUCUUGGCUGUAGGGACCAUUUUGUUGAUUCAAUGCAAUUUAUGCUAGGUUUGGAGGAUUUAUUUGAUUGGGUAUUACUUAGGGUAAAUUGAUUGGAUAUUAUUUCUAGUAAAUAUCCUUUUAUCCCCUGUAGUUUAGUACUUUAUCACGUAACCCCUUAUUGUUGAACAUCCUAUAUAUAACCUUCUCAUGAUUUGGGUUAAAAUAUCAUCGUUAAAAUUAACGAUCAAUAAUUAAAAAUCAAAGUCAAAUUAAUAAAUUGACAAAUUCAUUUUUUCACUACUUGUUUGCUUUUAUUCUUUUGUUUCUCUCUCAUUUUUUUUGGGAAGAGAAGAGUUGAUUUUAAAAACCUAUAUUUUGGCCUAUAUAAACUUAAUUUUCUCCAAAUACAAAAAAGAUGGAAAGGAAAUGAAGAAAUAAAAAGAUGGAAGGGAAAUAUAAAACAAAUAAAUAAGAAACAAAAAAAAUGAAAUCUUUUUUAACUACAAAUUUCAUUAUAGAUGUUUAAACCAAAUCUUUAGUGAUAUUCUCUAGUUCUUAUUUAUAUAUAUUUUUUAUUUUAAUUUCUUCUUUUUUAUAUUUGGAGGAAAAAAAAGGUUAAUGAAAGGAUAACUUUGUCAAUUUAUUAAUUUGACUUUGACUCUCUACUAUUGAUAGACCAUUAGUUUUAAUGAAAAAAUUGACAGUGACACCUUAAUCCAAACCAUGAGGGGUUAUAUAUAGGUUUUUAAACCAUUGGGGAGUUUUAUGAUAAAUCACCAAAUCACAGGGGGUAAAAGAUAAUUUACCCUAUUAUUUAUUGAGCCUAAUGGCUAUAAAAGUUGAAUGUGCCAACCUACCCAAUAUAUUUUAGCAAAACUCAAGCAUGAUUAUUGAAUUGUCUUAAGAAUUAGCUUUUUGUAAUUCUGGUAAAAAAUAAAUAUUACUAUGAUAUUAAAGUAUCAACACGAACAAAUAUAACAUUUGAAGUGCACUUAGAUUACAUAGAUUCAUUGUCUGCCAAAAAAGAAAACUUUUUUCUUGAAUAAAAAAUUUGAUACAAUGAUUCUCAAAUUUUGAUAAUCUAAAUACAGGUAGAUAGUAAUCAACAUAAUAAGAAAGUUAGGGGGAUGUUCUUGUCACCUUCCUAUUAGACCAUUAACAAACCAUCAAUGCCUCAAUAUGAAAGUUUCAGGGUUCUUAAAUUCAUUGUUCAUAUAUCAAAACAAAAAAAAAAAAAAAAUGCGAGCAGAAAUGCGCGUAAUAAAACGUUUCGACUCUAACCAUUGCAUGGAAAUGGGGUAAUUUGUGAAAGAAAAAACGUGUUUAACAAACGACCGACUUCGACGAAUGUUAUGAAAUAAAAGAAUUUGUAGAACGUUUCUACAAAUGGAGGUUGUUAGUUAUUUAAUAAGCACUUCAAGGCUUAUGGAGGUUUCCUGCAUUGCUUUACAAUAACUUACAUAAAGUAAAUAUGUCAAAGAAUAAAUGUUUAGCCCACAAAAUACGACCUAGAGAAUGCAGAUUAUAUGCCAUUAUUAAGGCUUAUGUGUGUGAGAGAAAGAACUAGCACUUUAAGGAUUAUGCAGGUUUUUCGGAUUUCUUUACAAGAUUAAUUUUAUAUGCACUGUCAAUGUAUAUAUGACACAUGUGUAAAAUUAAAAUUGAAAUUCAAUUUACCAAGAGUUUACUGUUCAGGAGGACUGAGGAUUUGUAACGAGGGACAGCACAAAGAAAUGCUUUUGUUCUGCACAAGUUUGCAGAGAUGAAGAAAUUCUGAUGCUCAGAGAGUAAUGAAGUUCCAAAGACCUGUGUGCUUUUUAGUGAUUAUCAAAGGUAAAUGAAGUAUGUAAAACUUUAGUUAGUGUAAACAUAUUCAAUAGAUCUGCAGUCAACUUUUCCAUGCCUUGCCUAUAAUAAACUCUCAGUGGUUCGUUAUUAUUUGUUUCAAGUAGUAACCAUACAUUGUGACAAAAGUGUUUGUUUCAAAUUUACUGGAUCAAGGGCCAUGGUUAGUUAAAAUUGGAAAAAUAUUGUUGUGCUGUAUAUGCAAGUGCACAAAUUUUAAUUGUCUGUCAACUAUAUAGAACAUAAACUCAUCAUGGUAGCCAAUAGAACUUGAUUGUGUACUAAGUGAUGCUUCUUGACACAAAUUCAUGGUACCAAAAUACUGCAUCUUCCACUACAUUCACCUUGUGUUCAUGUGAUCAGGCCCCAAACUGAAUAUUUGUGCAUUGACUGGCACUGAAAGUAAAAUUGAGCAGACCUUGACACCAAUUUGUCUCUAUGUAUUGUCCGAAUAGAAAUGAAUCUGACCAGCUGGUCGGAAAACACCAGUGAACAGCAAUAAACAGAAGCAACCAAUCUUCUCAGCUCAUGCGUUUAAGUUCAAAACUGUGAAGUUGCAUUAGUGUGAAGAUUAUAUAAUCAAGUUCACACCAAUCAAGGGUCAUUUCCUUCUAUCAGGUCAAUUCUACACUAAGCAAGGAUUAUUUUUUGAUAUCAUAAAUUAAUGUAUUUAGAAAGAGAGGAAAAAGUAGAGAAAGAGAAGAAGAGAAACAUCAUCUGGAGUAAUUAACAAUAAAUCAAGGAGAAAAAAUAGCACAAAAGUGGGAAUUUUGCUUCUACCACAGUAGAUAACAGUAAUUUAUUAGAGUCCUCAGCUAAAUUUUUGCUACUAGUGAUCUGGAUUCUGCCCAUUUCAAGUUUCAUUCUUCUGGCUUCAGCUCAAAGAUUUUCUAUGAUUUCCAGAAGCACUUUCUUAGAACUCCC
rnacentral:lncRNA from 1 species